rnacentral:misc_RNA from 1 species
GUGGAUAUAGCGCAUCUCUUCGGAGAGCGUGACCUCCACUUUCAACUCUGUGCAUUUUUUGGCGAGGGAACGAGACGAAGCGACGCAAGUUGCAGACUCUCGCCUCUUGCGGCUCAUUUUCAACACUAGUUAAAGUAUGUAACGAUAUAUCGAAACAAAAA